UACGAAGGGGGCUAGCGUUGUUCGGAAUCACUGGGCGUAAAGGGCGCGUAGGCGGAUUGAUAAGUCAGGGGUGAAAUCCCGGGGCUCAACCUCGGAACUGCCUUUGAUACUGUUGAUCUUGAGUCCGGGAGAGGUGAGUGGAACUGCGAGUGUAGAGGUGAAAUUCGUAGAUAUUCGCAAGAACACCAGUGGCGAAGGCGGUUCACUGGCCCGGAACUGACGCUGAGGCGCGAAAGCGUGGGGAGCAAACAGG
rnacentral:rRNA from 1 species